GGAGGAAUAUUGGUCAAUGGACGAGAGUCUGAACCAGCCAUCCCGCGUGCAGGAUGACGGCCCUAUGGGUUGUAAACUGCUUUUCUACUCCAAGAAACCUGGUUACGAGUAAUCAGUUGCCGGUAGAGUAGGAAUAAGCAUCGGCUAACUCCGUGCCAGCAGCCGCGGUAAUACGGAGGAUGCAAGCGUUAUCCGGAUUCAUUGGGUUUAAAGGGUGCGCAGGUGGGCUUGUAAGUCAGUGGUGAAAUGC
rnacentral:rRNA from 1 species